UACGUAGGGUGCAAGCGUUAAUCGGAAUUACUGGGCGUAAAGCGUGCGCAGGCGGUUUUGUUAGUCUGACGUGAAAUCCCCGGGCUCAACCUGGGAAUUGCGUUGGAGACUGCAAGGCUAGAAUCUGGCAGAGGGGGGUAGAAUUCCACGUGUAGCAGUGAAAUGCGUAGAGAUGUGGAGGAACACCGAUGGCGAAGGCAGCCCCCUGGGUCAAGAUUGACGCUCAUGCACGAAAGCGUGGGGAGCAAACAGG
rnacentral:rRNA from 1 species